GCCAAUCCCCGCAGCCCAGUGCGGGCUCGCCCGGCCGGCCGUGACGCGCCAGCCUCCGGCGCGGCUUUUCCCUUGUCUCCCUCCUUUCUCCCCCAUCUUCUUUCCGUUUUCCCUUCUCCACCUGUUUUUAAACUUUGAUGAACUCGCCCGGCGAACUUUCUUAAAGGGACCGCGAGCACUGCGCUGUCCCAGCCCGCAGGAGGUGGAACCAGGUGCCGGGCUCCCCGCGCCCCCUCGUCCCUCCUGGUUUCCCACCUGGUUUCCACCACUUUGUGCUGGCCCUGGUAUGAGGGACACUGCCUCCUGCAGGAAUCAGACGUUGCCGUAAGUGACUGUGCUUCACUUUCCCCAGGGGUUUCUAGGUACCUCCAGCCUCUGGCACCUCCAGAUGGAGCCAGCUUUGUGAACCCCCAGAUGUCCUGACCAUCCUUUGCAGGCCUCAGUCCAGUCUGGCUCUUUCCCCCACCCGCACUCCUUUCCCUAGAAUAGAUCCUCCAUUGGGCCCUGUCUCCAACACGUGGCCCAGCAAUGUUCUGCCAGCUUUGCCUCCCCUCCCUUCCUCCCUGCCGCAUCAAUCCAGAGCCUCGCCCCCUUCAAGAUUCUGUUUCAGCCCGACUGGUUCCAGGAGGAGGAACCUGGUCAAUUUUCAAAAUCCAGGUGUCCUCCAGAAGUUAGCCUGAAUUUUUCAGAGAGGAAGGGAUUCUCAUUUUGUCCUUCAGGUCCACAUUUUAUAAAUGAGGAAGCUGAGGCCGAAAGAGAUGACCGGUAAUGCGGGGUACACAACUGACUCCCACCAUUGUUUCUUUCUGUGACAUGAAGCUAAUGAUUAUUUUUAAAGGAAUAUUUACUGCCACUCUGAUGAUUAGCGUUGAAUAGUUGGAAGCUCGUAAAAUAGUUUAGGAAAAAAUCUGCCACAGAAAGAGUGAGAUUAUUAACAUUUCCUUCUAGUCUUUUUGUCUGUGCAUAUUGUAAAACACAAAAUUGCUAGGCAUUUUAUUAUUUUUUCAGGGUGGGAGGAGAUAACUAGGUUUGUUGGUUGGUUGGUUGGUUGGUUUUUAGAUGAGGUACUGGAGAAUGAACCCAGGACCUCGCGUGUGCUAAACAUGCGCCGUAACCCCACUGGACACUUGAAAUACUCCUUUUCCCCCAAUAUCAUGAGCAUUUCUUUUAAAGUUCUUGAGCCACAGAUUUUAAUGAUGGCUUAACCCCAUUCAAUGUGCCAUAAUUUAACUUAUUUCUUGUUGGACAUUUGCAUUAUUUCCAUUUUUUUCCUCUUUUGCCUUCAUAAGAAAGCACUUUGAAGGCAGCAGCCGUCUCAUUCCUCCCUGUACCCUUCACAGCCCCAGGGACAGGAGAGUCUCUGACCCCAAAGGGAUGUGGAGAUCAUAUAAAUGUAGAGCUCUCACCCAGGCCGGCGUGAGUGCCCAUCGUGCUGACUCGGGGUUGACGCAGAUGAGGCUGGAGAGACAAGAGUUCCGGGUGUACAACUCUGGCAAGCUGCCUGGAGGGUAGAAAAUUGCAUCUGUCUCUCCCACUUGUGACCCAGUAGCCGAGCCUCUAGCAGCCUUUUUAAGUGUUCCCCACCCCCACACCAAUUGCCAAGAUCCAUGUCACCUCUGAGCUGCUCACAUUUCUGUUCCCUUUGCCUGGAACUGCCCUCUUCCCAGGCUGCCACUCCCCUUCCCGAAUGCUCUCAGAAUGCCUCCUCUGUUCUCUGGAGCCUGGGAGUAACUUGUCUUGCUGUCUCACCUGCCAGAUGGGGUAACUGCUGACAAGCUGUUAGUGAAGGGAGCCUCAGCCCUGUCUCUGCAGCCUCCCCAGCCUCCAGCAAAGAGCUCGCUAUAGACUCUCCUUAAGCUAUUACCUGAAGAAGAUGACUGACUCGGGUCAGUUCCUCAAGGGCCACCCAACUAGUAUCAAGUUAGCGGACACUGAAGGCCAAACUGCUGCAAGAAGAAUCAAGCAAUUUUUAGGAAACAGUAAAACCCCCACCCUACCCCACACCUGUGACUGGGCUCACCAGACGAAGCGCUUGCCUCUCCACUGGUCCAGAAACUUGUCUCACUCAUCUCUGCUGUGUCACCACGUGCCCAAGGCCACUGCGGUCACUCACAUGAUGAACGGGGAGACUAGCUCUCCAGUGAGCCCAGGGAGUGGAUUUAAAAACAGAAAGAAAAGCUGUCCCACCGCCUUGUGGGGGCCGGAACAACUGCGUAUAAACGUCAGCGGGGGCACUAUUUUCACAUCGGCUCCUGAGCUGCCGCGGGACUGACAGGGUGGUGGCUGUAACUGGCACUCAUACGUCCUGGGUGCCGUCAGAAGAUUCAGGCCAAAAGGAAAAUCUGACCAUUUGGCAAAAGAUGGACUAAUUCCGGAGUAAGACAAGUCCCCUCUCACCUGUAGUGUCAUCGCCAGGCACUCAGCACCAGGGGGCCUCCUCUGUAUUCUCACGCAGGGGCGCUCUGAAAACAGAGCAGAUGCAGCUGAGGAAAGAGAAAGAAGCCAUGAGAAUCUAGUCUUUUACAAUAUUGCUAGUUACACCAGGCGUGAGUCCCCAGCCAUUCACCUGCAACCCCCUCCCACCCAACCCACAGUCGCGCACAGACAGAAGAGCCCGCUUCUCUCCAGGGCGACAGGACAGCAGUGGUGGCCACACUGCACAUGAGCAAUACAGUGGCGCCCCCACUUUAGAGAGAAAACUAAUCAAGAAAUACUCUCCGCAACACAGCUUCUCCUCGUGAGGGUAACUAUUUAGAGACAGGUGCAGUUCCUUUAGCUGAUGACUCCUUUCAUCCUGCUACUGUCCUAAAUGCCUCCCAAAGUAACCCUGAUGCCUUUGGCCGGAGGCUUCACUGUUUACAGGACUGUCACCAGGUCUGCAGAGAAUUUGCAGCAAGAGGAUCCAUAUUUUAAAUGGAUUUUAGCUGCAGUCUCUCAGACUGUGGGCUUCAGAGCAACUCUGUGUAAGGAAUGGUGUUUAUGCUGAUGCCUGAUGUUCAAGGAAGAUUUGAGGGGUCUAACGUGUUCAUAUUCUAACACCAAGUUAAAGAAUACUUAGCUUGUAUUCACUUCUAUGAAGUUCCCAAGAAUGCAGGAAAGAAAAGGAUACAAUUGGAGAAAUAAGAAUGCGCCAGGAUAGAUACGAUUCUUCAAUUUUCCUGUCAGAUCAGGAGUAAAUAGUGCAGGGUUUGAGGGAAAAAAUAUUUUCAGAUCUUCUAACAGUGAGCUGAAGAAUUUCCUCAACUUAUCUGAUUAACCUGUGUGUCAGGUGACUUCUCUUGUGAAAAGUGAGGGAAAUACAGAUUACUUAAAAAUCAAAGGAUAUGGAGACGAUCUGAAAUACUUACGAGGUGUAGACUAAUGACACAAUUAUAAGAGGGAGUGCGGAGCCAGAGACGUGUGCAAGCCAUCAGGAUGUCUGCCACCCUGACGGGGGUAAGGACCUGGCUACAUUCAGCUAUGGGAUAAGCAGGUAUUUGGGAUAAGCAGGUAUUUGGGGUAACCGGGGAUUGGAGUCUUGAUCAGCAGAGGCAAUAAGAGGUCAGAAGGACGUGAAAAGCAUUGGUCUUCAUAACUAUAUGUUGAAAUCACUUAGUUUGAUUAAAGUUGGCGUAAAAAUGAAGAUAGGCUGGCACAGAUGUUUAGGAAGGGGGUCAAAACACUGGAGGUUCUCCUAGCAUUUGGCAUCAGGGAAGAAACUGAGUGACUUUGAAUGUCAAGGAUUAAUUACUUUUUAAAAAUUCUAUGAUAUUCAUUUCCUUAUAAGUAAACUUGUGAUAAUAUUUCCCUCAUGAGAAUCAGUAGCCAAAGCUGUCUUAGUUUUGACUCUGGGGAAAAAGCAUUCUCUCUUCUUAUCUUAGACCACUGCGCAUUUACAGGUGGGUGGCUGGUCAGCCCCAGGUUGACGUGUGGGGCUGCACGGCUGACAGGUCUGAGAAUCGCGGGGAAGAUUCAGGUCUCGUGGCUUUCUUCUCUGUCCUCAGAUCUGCCUGCUUAGAGUGCAGACCAUCUCUGUGAGAGAAAACAGAGGAGAACAGGGGGCCGCUGAGAUGCUGACAGUGCCUCCCCGAGUGACCAGGGGUUUGCUCUUUCUCUUGAACUGCUAAGUGCCUGUGGUGGCCAGAAAGCUGUCUCCACCUGGGUGAGCCUUCUACGUGUACCCAGGAGGCAUCCCAGGCUCGGAGCUCCAGUCCUGUCAUCUCGUGUCUCUAGAGGACUGUCGAUGGGUCAGGGACUGGUGCAGAAAUCAUAUCCUUGCCCACACUUACACUAAUGUGUUCCAGAAACCACGCGGACUGUGCUUGAAAAGAGGGAAUACGGGAGGCUGUAUUUCCCUCCCCUUGCCCACGGUCCUGAUGGGAAAGCAAGUCACUUACUAAUCACUCGUCUGUGAUGCAGGGAGCUUGGUCAUGUAAUGGACAUAGGUGUGAGGGAUGAGUAACAGCAGAAGUUCAAGGUCUAGUAGGGGAGGCAGGUGUGCCAGCGGUGAGUGCGGUCAGUCCAGGGUUACAGGUGCUGGCGUGAGUGCCGUGCAGAACUGAGGGACCAGAAGGAAGAGGAGAAGCACUUCUAUAUGGCUGGGCAGGAAGGGGCAGGGAAGAGUCAGUUUGCUUUUAUUUUUUUUUUCUAAUUUUUUUCUUAGCUAUAUGAUAGAUACAGAUAUGUGUUACAGGCUGUAUGUAAGAAAUUUUUCAGUGAAGGAAAAUCAUACCCAGUGGUUGCUCUAUGGAGUGAACUGUUUGACAGAGCAGUAACAAUAGUGUUCCUAAGAUUACCCAGAAGCUGUGCUAAGCCCAGUGUUCUGACAGUACAUGGGUGUGAAACCAUCUCUGUCUGCAAGUAAAAUUCCAACAAAUCAGACCCAGUUAAACUUAAAAGCUUUUGCACAGCAAAGGAAACCAUAAACAAAAAGAAAAGACAACCUGGGAACUGGGAGAAAAUUUUUGCAGACUAUGCGAUUGGUAAGGGAUUAUACAAAUAUACAAGCACCGCGUGCAGCUCAAUAUCAAAAACACAAACAACCCAAUCAAAACUUGGGCAGGAGAUCUAAAUAGACAUUUCUCCAAAGAAGACAUACAGAUGGCCAACAGGCAUAUGAAAAGAUGCUCAACAUCACUAAUUAUUCAAGAAAUGCAAAUCAAAACUAUAAUGAGGUAUCACUUCACACCACAUCAUUAAAAAGUCUACAAAUAAUAAAUGCUAGAGAGAGUGUGGAGAAAAAGAAAUCUUCCUACUCUGUUGUUGGGAAUGGAAAUUGGUGCAGCCACUAUGGAUAAUAGUAUGAGGGUUCCUUAAAAAACUAAAAAGAUUUACCAUAUGAUCCAGCAAUCCUACUCUUGGGCAUAUAUCCAGAGGAAACUCUAAUUCAAAGAGAUACAUGCACCCCGAUGUUCAUAGCAGCACUGUUUACGACAGCCAAGACAUGGAAGCAGCCUAAAUGUCCAUCAACAGAUGAAUGGAUAAAGAAAAUGUGGUGUGUGUAUACACACACACACACACACACACACACACACACACACACACACACAAUGGAAUAUUACUUAGGCAUAAAAAGGAAUGAAAUAAUGCCAUUUACAGCAACACAGGUGGAUCUGGAGAUUAUCAUACUAAGUAAAGUAAAUCAGACAGAGAAAGACAAAUAUGAUAUCACUUAUAUGUGGAAUCUAAAAGAAUAACACAAAUGAACUUAUUUACAAAGCAAAAAGACUCAUAGAUGUAGAAAAGAAACAUGGUUAAAGGGGGGAGAAGGGGGAGGGAGGGAUAAAUUGGGAGUUUGGGGUUGGCAGAUACAAACCAUUAUGUACAGAAUAGAUAAAAAAUAAGGUCCUGCUGUAUACCACAGGGAAUUAUAUUCAGUGAUUUGUAGUAACCUGCAAUGAAAAAGAAUAUAUAUGUCUAACUGAAUCACUAUGCUGUACAUCAGAACUAAUACAACACUGUACAUCAGCUAUACUUCAAUAAAAUGUUUUAAAACUCUUUUCUGAUAUUUGAUAUAUAUGCAGAUGACUUCAAAAGCUGUAUCAGGGGAGGGCAUAGCUCAAGCGGUAGAGCGCAUGCUUAGCAUGCAUGAGGUCCUGGAUUCAACCCCCAGUACCUCCUCUAAAAAUAAAUCAA